CGUGGGGGACAACCAUCCGAAAGGAUGGCUAAUACCGCAUGAGUUCUACGGAAGAAAGAGGGGGACCUGCUUGCAGGCCUCUCGCGAGCGGAGCGGCCGAUGACUGAUUAGCCGGUUGGUGAGGUAACGGCUCACCAAAGCAACGAUCAGUAGCUGGUCUGAGAGGACGACCAGCCACACUGGGACUGAGACACGGCCCAGACUCCUACGGGAGGCAGCAGUGGGGAAUUUUGGACAAUGGGCGCAAGCCUGAUCCAGCUAUUCCGCGUGUGGGAUGACGGCCCUCGGGUUGUAAACCACUUUAGUAGAGAACGAAAAGGAGCUAUCGAAUAAAUAGCUCUGCUGACGGUACUCUAAGAAUAAGCACCGGCUAACUACGUGCCAGCAGCCGCGGUAAUACGUAGGGUGCGAGCGUUAAUCGGAAUUACUGGGCGUAAAGGGUGUGCAGGCGGCUGAGUAAGACAGAUGUGAAAUCCCCGGGCCUAACCUGGGAACCGCAUAUGUGACUGCUUGGCUAGAGUGCGUCAGAGGGAGGUGGAAUUCCACGUGUAGCAGUGAAAUGCGUAGAUAUGUGGAAGAACACCGAUGGCGAAGGCAGCCUCCUGGGACGCAACUGACGCUCAUACACGAAAGCGUGGGGAGCAAACAGGAUCAGAUACCCUGGUAGUCCACGCCCUAAACGAUGUCAACUAGUUGUUGGGGAUUAAAAUUCUCAGUAACGCAGCCA
rnacentral:rRNA from 1 species